UACGGGGGGGGCAAGCGUUGUUCGGAAUUACUGGGCGUAAAGGGCUCGUAGGCGGCCAACUAAGUCCGACGUGAAAUCCCCAGGCUUAACCUGGAAACUGCGUCCGAUACUGGUGGGCUCGAAUCCGGGAGAGGGAUGCGGAAUUCCAGGUGUAGCGGUGAAAUGCGUAGAUAUCUGGAGGAACACCGGUGGCGAAGGCAGCAUCCUGGACCGUUAUUGACGCUGAGGCGCGAAAGCCAGGGGAGCAAACGGG
rnacentral:rRNA from 1 species